UAAGUACUUCUCAAUCUGUGACGGACAACAGUGGCGCAUUGUUCUUUCUGACCAUCAGCAUAGCUAAAGUCUGUCUAACAACUGAUGAAGAGGGCGUGUGCCAAAAGACUGGGACCAGUCUGUGCACCAACCAGGGGACGCCAAGUCUAAACCACGGUACUCCUCCAACUUUUAAUAAACAAAUCAAAAUGCUCUUAGAGACUGAUAUAUGAAUUCAUGUAUAAGCCACAAGAUUCAGUCUGAUGAGAGAAGCCUGUGUGCCUGCUCAACUCGGACCCGUGUACAUGUUUAUGCUCUUAUGAUUUUACUUAAAUAAAUACUUGUUAAACUUUUAAGUCCUCUCCUGUCUACUUAGUGGAUUUUAACACGCACAAAGUGGUGACCCUGACUUGAUCCACUGAGUGGCGCCAGAGGACUUUCCCCUGAAUCGAGCAGACAGGACGGACUCCAGUUUUUCCUUCACUCAAAACAGCGCGCUGUCAAAAUAAGGUCGCCAGAGCACAGGCCCCGGGAGAAGAGGAGCCCCGGAGCAGUGUCAAGUCUUUACAGUGAUGUGACCAUGGAAAGUGAUGUCUGCAGGACCCUGUCUCUCCUGUAUCCCAGAGUGCGUGCAAUACAACUGCCUCCAGGAGUGGUCGCCUACCCUGGUAACUGUACUUGCAUCACACAAUCCAACAGCUCUACCAUGAAUGUGAGACACCUACCUAAAAAGUUUUGUAUGUACACCUACAACACAUCUUCGUUCGUUCCCAAUGUCACACAGCCGAUGUUUAACAAUCAGAGUAAGGGACUCGCUGAUGUCUGGUGGAUGUGUGGGACACAGCCCCGCCUUAGACCAUCCUUAGCUGCUAAAUGGGGGGGCACCUGCGCCUUAGUGUCCCUAUUAUUGCCGAUUACCAUGCU